rnacentral:rRNA from 1 species
AUAUUUAACGCUGGCNGCAGGCCUAACNCAUGCAAGUCGAGCCGGUAACAGNAGAGUAGCUUGCUACUUUGCUGACGAGCGGCGGACGGGUGAGUAAUGCUUGGGAACAUGCCUUGAGGUGGGGGACAACAGUUGGAAACGACUGCUAAUACCGCAUAAUGUCUACGGACCAAAGGGGGCUUCGGCUCUCGCCUUUAGAUUGGCCCAAGUGGGAUUAGCUAGUUGGUGAGGUAAUGGCUCACCAAGGCGACGAUCCCUAGCUGGUUUGAGAGGAUGAUCAGCCACACUGGGACUGAGACACGGCCCAGACUCCUACGGGAGGCAGCAGUGGGGAAUAUUGCACAAUGGGCGCAAGCCUGAUGCAGCCAUGCCGCGUGUGUGAAGAAGGCCUUCGGGUUGUAAAGCACUUUCAGUCAGGAGGAAAGGUUAGUAGUUAAUACCUGCUAGCUGUGACGUUACUGACAGAAGAAGCACCGGCUAACUCCGUGCCAGCAGCCGCGGGUAAUA